GGACUACUAGGGUUUCUAAUCCUGUUCGCUCCCCACGCUUUCGUGCCUCAGCGUCAAUACAGGUCUAGCCAGCUGCCUUCGCAAUUGGUGUUCUAUGGCAUAUCUAUGCAUUUCACCGCUACAUGCCACAUUCCGCUGACCUCAUCCUGAUUCCAGCCAUGCAGUAUCAAAAGCAAUUUUACGGUUGAGCCGCAAACUUUCACUCCUGACUUACAUGGCCGCCUACGCACCCUUUAAACCCAGUAAUUCCGGAUAACGCUCGCACCCUCCGUAUUACCGCGGCGGCUGGCACC
rnacentral:misc_RNA from 1 species